CCUACGGGUGGCUGCAGUGAGGAAUAUUGGUCAAUGGGCGAGAGUCUGAACCAGCCAAGUAGCGUGAAGGCUGACUGCCCUAUGGGUUGUAAACUUCUUUUAUCUGGGAAUAAAACGUUCCCCGUGUGGGAUUUUGUGUUUACCCUAUUAAUAAGGAUCUGCUAACUCCGUUCCAGCAGCCGCGGUACUACGGAGGAUCCGAGCGUUAUCCUGAUUUAUUGGGGUUAAAGGGUGCGUAGGCGGGAUUCCAAGGCAGCGGUAAAAAUGCGGUGCUCAACGCCUUCGAGCCGUUGAAACUGGCGUUCUUGAGUGAGUGAGAAGUAUGCGGAAUGCGUGGUGUAGCGGUGAAAUGCAUAGAUAUCACGCAGAACUCCGAUUGCGAAGGCAGCAUACCGGCGCUCUACUGACGCUGAGGCACGAAAGCGUGGGUAUCGAACAGGAUUAGAUACCCCAGUAGUC
rnacentral:rRNA from 1 species